UACAGAGGUGGCAAGCGUUGUUCGGAAUUACUGGGCGUAAAGGGCGCGUAGGCGGCCUUCUUAGUCGGACGUGAAAUCCCCGGGCUUAACUCGGGAACUGCGUCCGAUACUGGAAGGCUGGAGUUCGGGAGAGGAAUGUGGAAUUCCAGGUGUAGCGGUGAAAUGCGUAGAUAUCUGGAGGAACACCGGUGGCGAAGGCGGCAUUCUGGACCGAAACUGACGCUGAUGCGCGAAAGCCAGGGGAGCAAACGGG
rnacentral:rRNA from 1 species